rnacentral:piRNA from 1 species
CUCUUAAAUGUUGAGCUUGAGCUGA